CCUACGGGAGGCAGCAGUGGGGAAUAUUGGACAAUGGGCGCAAGCCUGAUCCAGCAAUGCCGCGUGUGUGAAGAAGGCCUGCGGGUUGUAAAGCACUUUCAGUAGGGAGGAAAAGCUUCAAGGUUAAUAACCCUGAGUCUUGACGUACCCACAGAAGAAGCACCG
rnacentral:rRNA from 1 species